CCUACGGGAGGCAGCAGUGGGGGAUAUUGCACAAUGGGGGAAACCCUGAUGCAGCGAUGCCGCGUGAAUGAAGACGGCCUUCGGGUUGUAAAGUUCUGUCGCAGGGGACGAAAAUGACGGUACCCUGCAAGAAAGCUCCGGCAAACUACGUGCCAGCAGCCGCGGUAAUACGUAGGGAGCAAGCGUUGUCGGGAAUUACUGGGGGGAAAGGGAGCGUAGGCGGGAGGAUAAGUUGAAUGUGAAAUCUAUGGGUUCAACCCAUAGCUGAGUUCAAAAGUGUUCUUCUUGAGUGAAGUAGAGGCAGGCGGAAGUCCUAGUGUAGCGGUGAAAUGCGUAGAUAUUAGGAGGAACACCAGUGGCGAAGGCGGUCUGCUGGACAGCAACUGACGGUGAGGCGCGAAAGCGUGGGGAGCAAACAGGAUUAGAUACCCGGGUAGUC
rnacentral:rRNA from 1 species